rnacentral:rRNA from 1 species
GACGAACGCUGGCGGCGUGCUUAACACAUGCAAGUCGAACGGAAAGGCCCUGCUUUUGUGGGGUGCUCGAGUGGCGAACGGGUGAGUAACACGUGAGUAACCUGCCCUUGACUUUGGGAUAACUUCAGGAAACUGGGGCUAAUACCGGAUAGGAGCUCCUGCUGCCUGGUGGGGGUUGGAAAGUUUCGGCGGUUGGGGAUGGACUCGCGGCUUAUCAGCUUGUUGGUGGGGUAGUGGCUUACCAAGGCUUUGACGGGUAGCCGGCCUGCGAGGGUGACCGGCCACAUUGGGACUGAGAUACGGCCCAGACUCCUACGGGAGGCAGCAGUGGGGAAUAUUGCACAAUGGGCGGAAGCCUGAUGCAGCAACGCCGCGUGCGGGAUGACGGCCUUCGGGUUGUAAACCGCUUUCGCCUGUGACGAAGCGUGAGUGACGGUAAUGGGUAAAGAAGCACCGGCUAACUACGUG